rnacentral:rRNA from 1 species
CGGCGAACGGGUGAGUAACGCGUAGGUAAUGUACCUUCUGGUGGGGAAUAACCUCGGGAAACCGGGGCUAAUACCGCAUAUUGUCCGAAAGGAUGAAAGCAGCAAUGCGCCAGUAGAGCAGCCUGCGUCCCAUUAUUUAUUCCUAGUUGGCGGGGUAAAAGCCCACCAAGGGUACGAUGGGUAGCUGGUCUGAGAGGAUGAUCAGCCACACUGGAACUGGGACACGGUCCAGACUCCUACGGGAGGCAGCAGUGGGGAAUAUUGCGCAAUGGGCGAAAGCCUGACGCAGCCACGCCGCGUGAGUGAUGAAGGCCUUCGGGUUGUAAAGCUCUGUCGGGAGGGACGAAGGGGAAACUCUGACGGUACCUCGCAAGAAAGCACCGGCUAACUCUGUGCCAGCAGCCGCGGUAAUACAGAGGGUGCAAGCGUUGCUCGGAUUUACUGGGCGUAAAGCGUACGCAGACGGCUGCAAAGGUCGGGUGUGAAAGCCCGGGGCUCAACCCCGGAAAUGCAUCCGAAACCAUGCAGCUCGAGUAUGAGAGAGGGAAGCGGAAUUCCUGGUGUAGAGGUGAAAUUCGUAGAUAUCAGGAGGAACAUCUGUGGCGAAGGCGGCUUCCUGGCUCAUUACUGACGUUCAGGUACGAAAGCGUGGGUAGCAAACAGGAUUAGAUACCCUGGUAGUCCACGCCGUAAACGAUGUGUGCUGGGUGUCGGGGGUAUUCACCCCCUCGGUAUCGAAGCUAACGCGAUAAGCACACCGCCUGGGG